rnacentral:rRNA from 1 species
CUACGGGGCGCUGCAGUGAGGAAUUUUGCGCAAUGGGGGAAACCCUGACGCAGCAACGCCGCGUGAGCGAAGAAGGCCCUCGGGUCGUAAAGCUCUGUCAAGUGGGAAAAAAAUUUUUUGAUCAAUAGUCAAAAGACUUGAUGGUACCACUGGAGGAAGCACCGGCUAACUCCGUGCCAGCAGCCGCGGUAAUACGGAGGGUGCGAGCGUUGUUCGGAUUUACUGGGCGUAAAGAGCGUGUAGGCGGUUUAGCAAGUCAGAUGUGAAAGCCCUGGGCUCAACCCGGGAAGUGCAUCUGAAACUGCUUGACUAGAGUAUGGGAGAGGAGAUUGGAAUUCCUGGUGUAGAGGUGAAAUUCGUAGAUAUCAGGAGGAACACCCGUGGCGAAGGCGAUUCUCUGGACCAAUACUGACGCUGAGACGCGAAAGCGUGGGGAGCAAACAGGAUUAGAUACCCGAGUAGUC